rnacentral:rRNA from 1 species
GACAAACGCUGGCGGCGUGCUUAACACAUGCAAGUCGAACGAUGAAACGGAAAGGAAGUUUUCGGAUGGAAUUUCUGUGGAUUAGUGGCGGACGGGUGAGUAAUGCAUGAAGAACCUGCCUUUCACAUAGGAAUAGCCUCGGGAAACCGGGAUUAAUACCAAAUGACACUCCGAGAUCGCAUGUUUUUGGGGUGAAAGAUUUUAUCGGUGAAAGAUGGCUUCAUGUCCCAUUAGCUGGUUGGUGAGGUAACGGCUCACCAAGGCGACGAUGGGUAGCCGGCCUGAGAGGGUGAACGGCCACAUUGGAACUGAGACACGGUCCAAACUCCUACGGGAGGCAGCAGUGGGGAAUAUUGCACAAUGGAGGGAACUCUGAUGCAGCGACGCCGCGUGAGCGAUGAAGGUCUUCGGAUCGUAAAGCUCUGUCCUAAGGGACGAUAAUGACGGUACCUUAGGAGGAAGCUCC